GACGGGGGAUGCAAGCCUUAUCCGGAAUCACUGGGCGUAAAGCGUCUGUAGGUGGUGAUGCAAGUCACUGGUGCAAAACUCUGGCUCAACCGGAGGAAAGCCAGUGAAACUGCAUGACUAGAGUGUGGGAGAGGUAGAAGGAAUUCCCUGAGUAGCGGUGAAAUGCGUAGAUACAGGGAAGAACACCGGAGGCGAAAGCGUUCUACUGGAACACAACUGACCCUGAGAGACGAAAGCUAGGGGAGCGGAUGGG
rnacentral:rRNA from 1 species